CCUACGGGAGGCAGCAGUGGGGAAUAUUGGACAAUGGGCGAAAGCCUGAUCCAGCCAUGCCGCGUGUGUGAAGAAGGCCUUCGGGUUGUAAAGCACUUUCAGUGGGGAAGAAAGCCUUGGGGCUAAUACCCUCGAGGAAGGACAUCACCCACAGAAGAAGCACCGGCUAACUCCGUGCCAGCAGCCGCGGUAAUACGGAGGGUGCGAGCGUUAAUCGGAAUUACUGGGCGUAAAGCGCGCGUAGGCGGUCUGAUAAGCCGGUUGUGAAAGCCCCGGGCUCAACCUGGGAACGGCAUCCGGAACGGUCAGGCUAGAGUGCAGGAGAGGAAGGUAGAAUUCCCGGUGUAGCGGUGAAAUGCGUAGAGAUCGGGAGGAAUACCAGUGGCGAAGGCGGCCUUCUGGACUGACACUGACGCUGAGGUGCGAAAGCGUGGGUAGCAAACAGGAUUAGCUACCCUAGUAGUC
rnacentral:rRNA from 1 species